rfam:Candidatus Sodalis pierantonius str. SOPE, complete genome.
AAUAGUUGUUAUGCUUACACUAACUGUGAUAACUCUGUAGGCAUUCAUUCGAUGUCAAACAUAAUGAAAACCUAUUUAUGAAAGCCGUUGUUCAAGUGAUUAGCCUAGUCGUGAUUAGCGUGGUGGUGAUUAUUAUCCCACCGUGCGGGGCUGCACUUGGACGAAGAAAAGCUUACUAAACAAGCUUAAAUCUCAAGAAAACCCCCGCACCAACUGGUCGGGGUUUUUUUUUGGUAUCAAUCAAGCGACAAGAGAACACUAAAUGAAAAUUAGAAUAUUGUUCUGUCCCUGCGGC